GACAGAGGGUGCAAACGUUGUUCGGAAUUACUGGGCGUAAAGCGCGCGCAGGCGGUUCUUCAAGUCAGAGGUGAAAGCCCAGAGCUCAACUCUGGAAUGGCCUUUGAGACUAGAGAACUAGGGUACGGGAGAGGUGAGUGGAAUUCCGAGUGUAGAGGUGAAAUUCGUAGAUAUUCGGAAGAACACCAGUGGCGAAGGCGGCUCACUGGCCCGUUACCGACGCUCAGGCGCGACAGCGUGGGGAGCAAACAGG
rnacentral:rRNA from 1 species